AUACGUAGGUGGCAAGCGUUGUCCGGAAUUAUUGGGCGUAAAGCGCGCGCAGGUGUUUCUUAAGUCUGAUGUGAAAGCCCACGGCUCAACCGUGGAGGGUCAUUGGAAACUGGGAGACUUGAGUGCAGCAGAGGAUAGUGGAAUUCCAAGUGUAGCGGUGAAAUGCGUAGUGAUUUGGAGGAACACCAGAGGUGAAGGCGACUAGCUGGUCUGUAACUGACGCUGAGGCGCGAAAGCGUGGGGAGCAGAAAGGAUGAUAUACCCGGUUAGUCCACGCCGUAAACGAUGAGUGCUAAGUGUUAGGGGGUUUCCGCCCCUUAGUGCUGCAGCUAACGCAUAAAGCACUCCGCCUGGGGAGUACGGUCUCAAGACUGAAACUCAAAGGAAUUGACGGGG
rnacentral:rRNA from 1 species